rnacentral:rRNA from 1 species
GACGAACGCUGGCGGCGUGCCUAAUACAUGCAAGUUGAGCGCUGAAGGUUGGUACUUGUACCGACUGGAUGAGCAGCGAACGGGUGAGUAACGCGUGGGUAAUCUGCCUUUGAGCGGGGGACAACAUUUGGAAACGAAUGCUAAUACCGCAUAAAAACUUUAAACACAAGUUUUAAGAUUGAAAGAUGCAAUUGCAUCACUCAAAGAUGAUCCCGCGUUGUAUUAGCUAGUUGGUGAGGUAAAGGCUCACCAAGGCGAUGAUACAUAGCCGAACUGAGAGGGUGAUCGGCCCCAUUGGGACCGAGACCCGGCCCCAACUCCUUCGGGAGGCAGCCGUAGGGAAUCUUCGGCAAUGGAGGAAAGUCUGACCGGGCAACGCCGCGUGAGUGAAGAAGGUUUUCGGAUCGUUAAACCCUGUUGGUAGAGAAGAACGUUGGGGGGAGUUGAAAGCUCACCAAGUGACGGUAACUACCCAGAAAGGGACGGCUAACUACGUG